rnacentral:rRNA from 1 species
CCAGACUCCUACGGGAGGCAGCAGUGGGGAAUAUUGGGCAAUGGGCGCAAGCCUGACCCAGCAACGCCGCGUGAAGGAUGAAGGUUUUCGGAUUGUAAACUUCUGUCGCGAGGGACGAAGAAUGACGGUACCUCGUAAGAAAGCCCCGGCUAACUACGUGCCAGCAGCCGCGGUAAUACGUAGGGAGCGAGCGUUGUCCGGAAUUACUGGGUGUAAAGGGAGCGUAGGCGGGACUGCAAGUCAGAUGUGAAAACCACGGGCUCAACCUGUGGCCUGCAUUUGAAACUGUAGUUCUUGAGUACUGGAGAGGCAGACGGAAUUCCUAGUGUAGCGGUGAAAUGCGUAGAUAUUAGGAGGAACACCAGUGGCGAAGGCGGUCUGCUGGACAGCAACUGACGCUGAGGCGCGAAAGCGUGGGGAGCAAACAGGAUUAGAUACCCCAGUAG